rnacentral:rRNA from 1 species
GAUGAACGCUGACAGAAUGCUUAACACAUGCAAGUCCACUUGAAUUUGGGUUUUUAACUUAGGUUUGGGUGGCGGACGGGUGAGUAACGCGUAAAGAACUUGCCUCACAGCUAGGGACAACAUUUGGAAACGAAUGCUAAUACCUAAUAUUAUGAUAAUAGGGCAUCCUAUAAUUAUGAAAGCUAUAAGCGCUGUGAGAGAGCUUUGCGUCCCAGUAGCUAGUUGGAGAGGUAACGGCUCACCAAGGCGAUGAUGGGUAGCCGGCCUGAGAGGGUGAUCGGCCACAAGGGGACUGAGACACGGCCCUUACUCCUACGGGAGGCAGCAGUGGGGAAUAUUGGACAAUGGACCGAGAGUCUGAUCCAGCAAUUCUGUGUGCACGAUGAAGUUUUUCGGAAUGUAAAGUGCUUUCAGUUGGAAGAAACAAAUGACGGUACCAACAGAAGAAGUGACGGCUAAAUACGUG